rnacentral:lncRNA from 1 species
GUUUUUUUUAUUGAAUGCAGUAUCUUCAAGCUGUACUUCAAAGGUGGAGAUGGGGAACAGGUUUAAUGUCAGAUAGCUUGGAAAUGAUAGCAAAUCAUCAUUCCUUCUUAGAAACCCAUGGUGCCUUCUGUGUGUCAGAAGCUCUUGAGAUGUGCUGCAAACAGAUCUGUUUUGACCUGAAUCCCCUAAACUUUGAGUGCCUUUUAAAGAUGCAAUGCUGAUGAAUAAAACAGUAAGCUAGGAACACACUCUAGAACACUGGCAUGAAGACUGUGAGGCGGAUAUUCUGAGGACGUGAAAGUGCCCGGGGACGGAGCCCUGGGAAGGCUGGCGGAGAGAACACAGGGACAUUCUUCCUGCCAAUCUUUUAUAAAUUAUCCAGGGGAAGUGAUUCUGUAAAGCAACACACAGUGGAAUGCUUCAUCUGACAUAACUUCCUUCGUUUUUCAUCCAGUUGAAACGAUUCCAGGAGCCUCAACUAGCAAUCAAGUUGGGAGAAAAGUACACAGCACGUUCUCCAAACCCAGCCGUUCCUUGAGCUGUGGUGGGGCCCGGCACCCUUGUUUCCUUUCCCAGGAUUCACCGUGAGCGGUGGGCAGAGUCUGGGAACAGCCUAAUGACUGAGGACACUUCAUUCCCAGCGACCGAAGGGAUGAGUGAGAAUGCUGG